rnacentral:lncRNA from 1 species
UUUUUUAUGAUUCUUUUGUUUGAAACAUUGCUUAUCCUUUUCAAGUUUUAUUUUUGAGAGUUAAGAAAACUGUUUUCUCUUAAGCUAUCUAUAGCUUUACAGUAAAAGCUAUAGACAAAGUAUAUUUCUGUGAAAAAAGUUGAAACAUUUACCUUUCUCUCUACCUGAUCCCUUCAGAAUUCAGAAAUUCUUCAUGAGUAUUCUUACUUUAUGGCUUUACAAUUAUUUCAUAAGUUCAGUAAGAACUCAUUCUCUUUUAUAACAAGACACAACUGGAAACACUGGUUAUUUUACCAAGGCUCUGACUGAAAUACAAUAUUUUUAGAUAUGAUCAGAUUGCUUUGAGGACUGAAGUUGACUUUUGUGGAGCUGAUAAAAUGUCCCUUGGAGAGACUGGCCUUGUACCUUGUCUACAUGAUUCCCUUACAAGCUUCCUGAUUUUGUGUCUCAGCUCUGUCAACCUGCUUGAAGCUGCAAGGAAUUUGGUGCUCGGGGACAGGCCUCCACAAGUCCAAUGAAGUUGGCUGCGUUUCUGAUUCACUUCUCUAUCCAAGAAUAAAAAUAGGGGCUGAUCUACUCAAACGAUCCUGGGAGAUUAAAAGAUUUUGAAGCCAAAACAAAACCCGAGAUAAGCUGCCUACGUGUGCGUGAGGAGGCAAGUCAGUUCCAGGAGCCAGCAGUGUCCGGGAAGGGCUCCCCGCAGCCUGACAGGACUUGUCCCAGCGACCUCUUCCCUCCCGAGGUCCUGUUACCUGUGUGCGUGUCAGGACAAAGCCCUCUGUGCCACUGGCCUCCCUCUCACGUGGUGCUGUCCUGCCCUUUUUUGCUCGGUUUUGAAGAGCGAGCUAUAAGCUAUAUCGUUUUGCUUUGGAAAGACACUGGAUUUAGAACCAGCUGCAGUCCUUUAACAACCUCUCUGACCCUCAUUAUCCAUGUGGCCUUUGGCAACCUCUGUGAGCCUCAGUUUUCUUGUCUUCCCCCGCUAUGGGGAUGUCAGAGGCAACUCCAGGCGGUAACACACUGGAAAAUGCUGCAAGUCCACAGUACUGGGUGGAGAGAAAUUUAUUGUUAUUAUUGUUGUUCUCUUUCACCCCAAAUGGACAGCUUGAUCUUUCCCUUAGGGAAACGCUUUCAAAUAAAGUGAUUAUGUUUUGGAGACCUAGCAAAAUGGAUUUGGAUAACUUCCAUCAGGAGGGAGGAAGAGAGCCGGUGGCCUUUUGUUAUGAGACCACAGGUAACCAAAUGUUU